rnacentral:rRNA from 1 species
CCUACGGGCGGCAGCAGUGAGGAAUAUUGGUCAAUGGCCGAGAGGCUGAACCAGCCAAGUCGCGUGAGGGAAGACGGCCCUACGGGUUGUAAACCUCUUUUGUCGGGGAGCAAAGCGAGUCACGUGUGACUCAUUGAGAGUACCCGAAGAAAAAGCAUCGGCUAACUCCGUGCCAGCAGCCGCGGUAAUACGGAGGAUGCGAGCGUUAUCCGGAUUUAUUGGGUUUAAAGGGUUGGCAUGCGGAGGUGCAAGGUAGCGGUCAAAUUGCGGGGCUCAACCCCGUACUGCCGUUGAAACGUCAUCCCGUGAGUGCGCGAGAGGUAUGCGGAAUGCGUGGUGUAGCGGUGAAAUGCAUAGAUAGCACGCAGAACUCCGAUUGCGAAGGCAGCAUACCGGCGCGCAACUGACGCUCAUGCACGAAAGCGUGGGUAUCGAACAGGAUUAGAUACCCCAGUAGUC